AAUGAACGCUGGCGGCAGGCCUAACACAUGCAAGUCGAACGGAUCCUUCGGGAUUAGUGGCGGACGGGUGAGUAACGCGUGGGAACAUACCCUUUGGUACGGAAUAGCCUCGGGAAACUGGGAGUAAUACCGUAUGUGGUCGAGAGACGAAAGAUUUAUCGCCAAAGGAUUGGCCCGCGUUGGAUUAGGUAGUUGGUGGGGUAAUGGCCUACCAAGCCGACGAUCCAUAGCUGGUUUGGGAGGAUGAUCAGCCACGCUGGGACUGAGCCACGGCCCAGACUCCUACGGGAGGCAGCAGUGGGGAAUCUUAGACAAUGGGGAAAACUCUGAUCUAGCCAUGCCGCGUGAUCGAUGAAGGCCUUAGGGUUGUAAAGAUCUUUCAGGUGGGAAGAUAAUGACUGUACCACCAGAAGAAGCCCCGGCUAACUCCGUGCCAGCCGCCGCCGUAA
rnacentral:rRNA from 1 species